AUAGAAGAACCCCUGAUGCCGUCGAGCCAAGAAAAGUUUCUAAGUUUAGCUAAUGUUGCCCGUACCGUAAACCGACACAGGUGGGUGGGAUGAGUAUUCUAAGGCGCGUGGAAGAACUCUCUUUAAGGAACUCUGCAAAAUAGCACCGUAUCUUCGGUAUAAGGUGUGGUUAGCUUUGUAUUAGGAUUUACUCCGAAAGCAAGGAAACUUACAACAAAGAGUCCCUCCCGACUGUUUACCAAAAACACAGCACUCUGCUAACUCGUAAGAGGAUGUAUAGGGUGUGACGCCUGCCCGGUGCUCGAAGGUUAAUUGAUGGGGUUAGCAUUAGCGAAGCUCUUGAUCGAAGCCCGAGUAAACGGCGGCCGUAACUAUAACGGUCCUAAGGUAGCGAAAUUCCUUGUCGGUUAAAUACCGACCUGCAUGAAUGGCGUAACGAGAUGGGAGCUGUCUCAAAGAGGGAUCCAGUGAAAUUGUAGUGGAGGUGAAAAUUCCUCCUACCCGCGGCAAGACGGAAAGACCCCGUGGACCUUUACUACAGCUUGACACUGCUACUUGGAUAAGAAUGUGCAGGAUAGGUGGGAGGCUUUGAGUAUAUGACGCCAGUUGUAUAUGAGCCAUUGUUGAGAUACCACUCUUUCUUAUUUGGGUAGCUAACCAGCUUGAGUUAUCCUCAAGUGGGACAAUGUCUGGUGGGUAGUUUGACUGGGGCGGUCGCCUCCCAAAUAAUAACGGAGGCUUACAAAGGUUGGCUCAGAACGGUUGGAAAUCGUUCGUAGAGUAUAAAGGUAUAAGCCAGCUUAACUGCAAGA
rnacentral:rRNA from 1 species